rnacentral:rRNA from 1 species
UACGUAGGGGGCUAGCGUUGUCCGGAUUUAUUGGGCGUAAGAGCGUGUAGGCGGCCUGGUAGGUCUGCUGUGAAAACUCGAGGCUCAACCUCGAGAUGUCGGCGGAAACCAUCUGGCUAGAGUCCGGAAGAGGAGAGUGGAAUUCCUGGUGUAGCGGUGAAAUGCGCAGAUAUCAGGAAGAACACCCGUGGCGAAAGCGGCUCUCUGGAACGGUACUGACGCUGAGACGCGAAAGCGUGGGGAGCGAACAGG